rnacentral:rRNA from 1 species
UACAGAGGUCUCAAGCGUUGUUCGGAUUCAUUGGGCGUAAGGGCGCGUAGGCGGCGAGGUAAGUCUGGUGUGAAAUCUAGGAGCUCAACUCCUAAACUGCACUGGAUACUGCUUUGCUUGAGGACUGGAGAGGAGAUUGGAAUUCACGGUGUAGCAGUGAAAUGCGUAGAUAUCGUAAGGAAGACCAGUGGCGAAGGCGGGUCUCUGGACAGUUCCUGACGCUGAGGCACGAAGGCCAGGGGAGCAAACGGG